UGGAACCCAUGGUUUUUUCCCUUUGAGAAUUGCAUAGUUCGGCCAACAUUAAUGGUGCUAAAGUCACUGAAAUGACUGCAUAUGGCUUGGACCAUCUCUCCUCAUCGACAACUGGAACGGUCAAUCUCCUUGGCAAGUAUAAAGGUAACUCCAAAAGAUCCAGAAACUUACCAAAGUAGUAAAAACUUGGUGAAUCAAAGUUGAAAAACUUUGUGGUUUCAUCUUGGUUUUCAUGAGCUCCUUUGUCCACCAUGACAGAUUUUUCAUCACUUGCAUAACCAAGUAACGGUAUACCAACCUCUCCAAUGUUAUCAUUGCUGUUUGAAACAGAAGAAACUGGUACGGAUUCCAUGUUCCUUUCCUUCUUUUUGUUGAAGAAAUGUGAUGCAGAAACAGCACAAACAUACAGGAAGUAGAUGGAGAGGAAAGAAAUAGCUCCCCACAAAGUGAUUUUACCAAUAAAAAUG
rnacentral:lncRNA from 1 species